AGGCGAACGGGACGAGGCGGCGGCUAUGGCGGACGAGCGGGCGGUGUGAGGGCUCGGCCGCCAUUUUGUGUGUGUGGGGGCUCGCGCCAGGCCUCGCUGCCGCCGCCGCGAGGCUGGUGCCGAGGGCUGCGUGCUGCCCGGCUCACCGCGCUGCCCCGGGGUCACUGCUGCCGGAGUGGGACACGCAGCUGUCCGGGAGGAGCCGAGUCCGCCCCGUGCAGCGCUGCGGGGCUCCAGGUGGAGCAGGAGGCCUCAGCGGGCUGCUGCUUCUCUCCCCGAGCAAUGACUCCUAACGAAGAACUUUUUAAGCCCCGCUUAUGGCACUGAGAGCAUUUCUGGGGAGCUCUGCUGCGACCUCACCCCCAGGAGGAGGAGACAGGAAAAUGAACCGAGCCUUUAGCCACGGAGCCUCAGUGCGUGCGGAGCAGUGCUGAGCUCCAUAGGAGCCCCAUUUCUCCGCACCCCGCGGUGGAGCGGCCGAAACGCACCGAAAACGAUCGGAACUGCAUUCUCUCGUGGGAGAACGCUUCCAACGCUCCCCAGAAACCACACCGAAGCUGUUACAGUUACAAGUAAUUAAAUUUAUUAGACCU
rnacentral:lncRNA from 7 species